CAACUUCAACAUCCCCCUACAGUUCAAGUGGACAGGCAGUGUGUGUCAAGACCUGUGAGGCCUGAUGUCACAUUGAAGAGGCUACUGUGGGAGGCUGAGCUGGAUCCCAGUUCCUGCAUACCCUGGGCACCCAGUCUAGACGAGAUGUCUGCAUUAUCACAGCACUCUCUACCGUGGCAUUCCGGAGAAUGUCCUCAAAGGACAGAGGUUGAUUACAAAAGAUCCAUCAAUUUCCAAUCCUCAGUCUUUCACAUCUGAGGAGCAUGGAGGAGGAGACUCUACUGAUCUUUUCAUGGCAGUCAUGUGACCUAGAUCCUUGUAUUUCCUGGGCAUUGUGUCCUCUAUUGUGGGAUCUCUGACUACAAAGGCAGGUAGUUCAUAGUUGCUGAGGGUCAUGCCUUCUAGAGCAAGACUUUACUAGAAAAACAAGGUCAAAUCUAUCACCUAAGCAAGAGAUGGAGAAGGGAUGUGAGGCCAUCGUGUGUAAGGAAGAAAAGUCCCAAUGGAAUCCUAUGUGAUGAUCUAGUACCUGGCAGAGGGACUAUGGUCAAGGCUCAAAGGGGACACCUCGAGAUCUCCCUGCAGUUCAGGAAAACAGACAAGAAGUAAUGAACUCUGACCUACAUUCUGAUAGCACAGAGUUGGGCAUCAACCAGGUCUGGACACAAGUAUCUGCAGACGAAAGUCCAGAUAGUUAGUGUCUCCUGCUGCAUGUCCAGUUCAUGGGACACUGGGCAACCAAGAAGUCAUUAUGAUUAUAGUGACACAGGAGUCUCCACGGGGACCUAACUCCAUUCUCAAGAGCAGAGGAAACUGGGAUAGCCAUUAAAGCAUCUGAUGAUCAGGCAAGAAGCACUCAUGGUGUCUUUUAGCCUUACAUCCCAAGAAGAAAAUAAACUCAUUCUCAUGGGGCACUAAUGCGGGCCCUUUUUCUCCUACCUUCCUCCAUGUAUUCUAUGUCCAAUCACCCAGAAGAAAUUUCCCUACAGCACUCACAGUAGAACCAUGCUUCAGAUUUUGGGAAAUACAGUUGGGAUGGUUUUCUGGGCCUCUCUGUCCUCUCAUGACUUUAUGGACAUUUAUAAUGUGUGCAGUCUCUGGAAGGUCGUGUGCAUGCUGGGAUUGAGCUGGGGCUUUGUCACCAUCUAAUGCAGAAGCCCUUGUGCCAAUAUGUGACCCUGUUGACAAGGUUGUUCUGCUCUUCAAGCCGAUGUUAUAUUUCACCUGCCUCCAUAUAAACACAGUACAGCAUGCCCUUACUUUGUGCUACAGUUAUUAUGGUGACGUUAAGAGAAAAAGGACUUUGACAGUAGGAAGUAGGAUGGGAAGACAUCAUGAGGACCAGCUGUACCUGGGAAGUAGACAGCGAAACCAAUAAUACCCUCUUCAGACCUGCUUUCUAUACUGGUGUCCUUGUAACAAAGCUCUGUCACAGAGAAGGCAACAAUUUCUCCCCGAAACUCCUUCAGCCUUCAUUCUGAGUCUUCUAGAUGGGAAGAACCUGGAGAAGGGUCUCUCCAGAUGUGUCAGAGGGUGGCCCUAGUGACCUGGGUCACAACAUCUCUUGGGACUUUAUUCCAGGUGUGGGCUAUCUGAUAGAGCUGGACUCACAGUUCUAGCCAUGCAGCCUCUUCCUCACUUUCUGGAAUGUGCCUGCUCCUGGCAUGUGCCUGCUCCUGGCAUGUGCCUGCUCCUGGCAUGUGCCUGCUCCUGGCGAGUGCCUGCUCCUGUCCCCCUGUAGCAUCAUGGGGGUGGUUCUUUCUCCACAGCUCUGACCCCAUUUUACCUACAAGGAAUGAGAGAGAAGACUGGGACUGAAGUUUGAGGCCAGCUUCUGGGCUUCCUUUGUGCAAUGAUCUGAGCUGUUCUUUUGUCAGUUGUCAUUGGAUGGACUUGGUCAUGUGACAGGCCCUCAGGAGGGGCUGGAUCCCAGGAGCAGUAGUCUGGUGUCCAAGCUGUCCACAGGGAGCUGGCACUCUGAAAGAGUCCAGGACAAUCAGGAAGACAAAGGUGCUGAGAUACAGCAGAGCAGUCAACAUCAUGAGGCACACGUGAAGGGGACGUCCCAGGCUGAAGCCACAGUCAACUGUGCACCAAGGUCCUUCCCUGUUGGUGGCUGGGCAGUGUGAACACAAAGUCUUGCUGUGUCAGUGAGGGCCCGGCCCUGGGACUCUCUAACUUCUGCUGCAGUUGUUGCUGUGUCUGAUGCUCCUGCUGCCAAAACCUAGGUCAAGGGUUUGAAAACACAAGUUUGCAACCUCAAACCAGGACAUUUCUAUGUCAGAGAGGACAAUGUCUAGAUUUGCAAUGUCAGACCAGGUCUACCCGUAAUUCCUAAUGUGAGACAUCUGGGGAUCUGUGCUCUUCACAUCGGGUGCUUCAAGAUACUACACAAGAGAAUGAAGGAUUGCCUGUCAAAUGUGUGCUGCUUCCCUUGGGGUUUCAAUACCAAAAGCCCAUACUAUGUUCAACAACAAAGUGGCUCCCUUGAAAGAGCCAGUUUGCAAAACCCAGUGAUGAAUUCGGCACUCAGUUCAACUGGACAGGCAGAGUGUGUCAAGACCUGUGAGGCCUGAUGUCACAUUGAAGAGGCCAACUGUGGGAGGCUAAUCUGGAUCCCAGUUCCUGCAUAUCCUGGGCACCCAGUUUAGAGGAGAUGUCUGCAAUAUCACAGGACUCUCCACUGUGGCAUUGCGCGAGCAUGCCCUCAAAUGCAGUGGUUGCUUACAAAACAUCCAUCAGCUUUCCAAUCCUCAGUCUUUCACUUCUAAGGAGCAUGGAGGAGGAGACUCUACUGAUCUUUUAAUGGCGGUCAUGUGACCUAGAUCCUUGUAUUUCCUGGGCAUUGUGUUCUCAAUUGUGGGAUCUCUGUCUACAAAGGCAGGUGGUUGAAUGUUGCUGAGGGUCAUGCCUGUCUAGAACAAGACUUGACUGGAAAAACAACGUCAAUUCUCUCACAUAAGCAAGAGAUGGAGAAGGGAUGUGAGGCAAUUGUGCAGAGGGAGCAAAUGUCCAGAUGGAAUCUAAUGUGAUGAUCUGGUGCCUGGCAGAGGGACUACAGUCAAGGCUCAAAGGGGACACCUCCAGAUCUCCCUGCAAUUCAGAUGGACAGACAAGAAUGAACUUGACCUAUAUUCUGAUAGCACGGUGUGGGGCAUCAGCCAGGUCUGGACACCAGUAUCUGCAGAUAAAAGUCUGGAUGGUUAGUAUCUCAUGCUGCAUGUCCAGUCCAUGGGACACCGGGCAACCCAAAUAGUCAUUGUGAUUGCAGUGCCACAGGAGUCUCCAGAGGGAACUAACUCCAUUCUCAAGAGCAGAGGAUACUGGGAUAGCCAUCCAAAGCAUCUGAUGAUCAGGCAAGAAGCUGAGGGUGUCUUUAGCUCUACAUGCCAAGAUGAAAACAAAUGCAUUCUCGUGGGACACUAAUGCUGGCCCUUUUAAUCCUCCCUCCAUAUAUUCUAUGUCCAAUCACCCAGAAGACAUUUCCUUUUAACAGUCACAGUAGAACCCUGCUACAGAUUUUGGGAAACACUGUUGGGAUGGGUUUUUGGACCUCUCUGUCCUUCCAUCUGUAUGGACAUUUAGGAUGUGUGCAGUCUCUGGAAGGUCCUGUGCCAACUGCAGGCUGGGCUAAGAUGGGGGCUUUGUCACCAUCUAAUGCAAAAGCCCUUGUGCCAAUAUGUGAUCCUGUUGACCAGGCUGUUCUGCCCUUCAAGCCAACGGGUUGAUUCACCUGUCUCCAUAUAAACACAGCCCAGCAUGCCCUUACCAGGUGAUACUGUCACUAUGGUGACACUAAGACAAGAAGGACUUUAACAGUAGGAAGUGGGGUGGGAAGAUGUUGUGAGGCCCAGCUAUACCUGGGAAUUAGACAGCGAAACCACCGAUCCCCCUUCAGAACUGCUUUCUAUUUGGUGAACUGGUACCGAAGCUCUGUCACAGAGAAGGCAACAAUUUCUCCCGGAAACUCCUACAGCCUUCAUUCUGAGUCUUCUAGAUGGGAAGAACCUGGAGGAGGGUCUCUCUAGAAGUGCCAGAGGGUGGCCCUGUGAUCUGGGUCACUGCAUCUCUUGAGAUUUUGUUCCAGCUGUGGGCUGUGUGACAGAGCUGGGCCCACAGUUCUAGCCAUGCAGCCUGUUCCUCACUUCCUGGCAAGUGCCUGCUCUGAUCCUCCUGUAUUACCAUGGGAGCUGUUCUUCCUCUACAGCCCCGACCCAUUCUUACCUACAAGGAAUGAGAGAGAAGACUGUGUCUGAUGUUUGAGCCCAGCUUCUGGGCUUCCUUUGUGCAAUGAUCUGAGCUGUUCUUUUGUCAGUUGUCAUUGGAUGGACACGGCCAUGUGACAGGCCCUCAGGAGGGCUAGAUCCCAGGAUCAGAAGUCUGGUGUUCAAGCUGUCCACAGGGAGCUGGCACUCUGGCAGAGUCCAGGACACUCAGGAAGACAAAGGUGCUGAGGUCCACCUGUUAUUCCUAAUGUUAGAAAUCUGGGGAUCCGUGUUCUUCACAUCGGGUUCUUCAAGAUACUACUCAAGAGAAUGAGCGAUCGCCUGUCGAAUGUGUGCUGCUUACUUUGGGGUUUCAAUCCCAAAAGCCCAUCCUAUGUUCAACAACAAAGUGGCUCCUCUGAAAGAUGCAGGGUGCAGAGCCCAGUGAGGAACUGGGCACGCAGUUCAACUGGACAGGCAGAGUGUGUUAAGACCUGUGAGGCCUGAUGUCACAUUGAAGAGGCCACUGUGGGAGGCUGAGCUGGAUCCCAGUUCCUGCAUAUCCUGGGCACCCAGUCUAGACGAGAUGUCUGCAAUAUCACAGGACUCUCCACUGUGGCAUUCCAGGAGAAUGCUCUCAAAGGACAGAGGUUGAUUACAAAAUAUCCAUCAAUUUCCAAUCCUCAGUCUUUCACAUGUGAGGAGCCUGGAGGAGGAGACUCUACUGAUUUUUUCAUGGCAGCCAUGUGACCUAGGUCCUUGCAUUUCCUGGGCAUUGUGUUCUCAAUUGUUGGAUCUCUCACCACAAAGGCAGGUGGUUUAUUGUUGCUGAGGGUCAUGCCUGACUAGAACAAGACUUGACUGGAAAAACAAGGUCAAUUCUCUCACAUAAGCAAGAGAUGGAGAAGGGAUGUGAGGCCAUUGUGCACAGGGAAAAAAUGUCCAAAUGGAAUCUAAUGGGAUGAUCUGGUGCCUCGCAGAGGGACUACGGUCAAGGCUCAAAGGGGACACCUCGAGAUCUCCCUGUGCUUCAGUUGAACAGACAAGAAGUAAUGAACUCUGACCUAUCUUCUGAUAGUACAGUGUGGGGCAUCAACCAGGUCUGGACACAGGCAUCUGGAGAUGAAAGUCUGAAUGCUUACUAUCUCCUGCUGCAUGUCCAGUCCAUGGGACACUGGGCAACCCAAGAGGUCAUUGUGAUUGCCGUGCCAAAGGAGUCUCCACAGGGAACUAACUCCAUUCUCAAGAGCAGAGAAUACUGUGAUAGCCAUCCAAAGCAUCUAAUGAUCAGGCAAGAAGCAAUGAGGAGGUCUUCAAGCCCUACAUGCCAAGUAGAAAAUAAAUUCAAUCUCACGAGGCACUAAUGAUGGCCCUUCCACACCCCGGCCCAAACUCCAUGUACUGUAUGUCCAAUUACUCAGUCAACAUUUCCUUACAACAAUCACAGUAGCUCCAGAUUUGGGGGAAGUUAUUUGGGACACAGAUCUGGACCACUCUCCUUCCAUGUCUGUAUGGACAUUUAGGAUGUGUGCAGUCUCUGGAAGGUCCUGUGCCAACUGCAGGCUGGACUGAGCUGGGGCUUUCUCACCAUCUAAUGCAGAAGCCCUUGUGCCAAUAUGCGAUCCUGUUGACCAGGCUAUUCUGCUCUUCAAGCCAAUGGGCUGAUUCACCUGUCUCCAUAUAAAUACAGCCCAGCAUGCCCUUACCCCGUGAUCUGUCACUAUGGUGACACUAAGACAAGAAGGACUUUAAAAGUAGGAAGUGGGAUGGGAAGACAUUAUGAGGCCGAGCUGUACCUGAAAUCUAGACAGCGAAACCACCAAUCCCCCUUCAGACCUGCUUUCUAUACUGGUGUCCUUGUACCGAAGCUCUGUCACAGAGAAGGCAACAAUUUAUCCCCGAAACUCCUUCAGCCGUCAUUCUGAGUCUUCUAGAUGGGAAGAACCUGGAGGAGGGUCUCAGAUGUGUCAGAGGGUGGCCCUGUGACCUGGGUCACUACAUUUCUUGGGAUUUUGUUCCAGUUGUGGGCUGUCUGACAGAGCUGGGCCCACAGUUCUAGCCAUGCAGCCUGUUCCUCACUUCCUGGCAUGUGCCUGCUCCUGGCAUGUGCCUACUCUUGGCAUGUGCCUGCUCUUGGCAUGUACCUGCUCCUGGCAUGUGCCUGCUCCUGACAUGUGCCUGCUCCUGGCAUGUGCCUGCUCUUGGCAUGUACCUGCUCCUGACAUGUACCUGCUCCUGGCAUGUGCCUGCUCUAGUCCUUAUGCAGCACCCUGGGAGCGGUUCUUCCUCCAGAGUCCUGAUGAUCACCAUUCUUACCUACGAAGAAUUUGAGAGAGGACUGCAUCUGAGUUUUGAGCCCAGCUUCUGGGCUUCCUUUGUGCAAUGAUCUGAGCUGUUCUUUUGUCAGUUGUCAUUGGAUGGAUAUGGCCUUGUGACACGCCCUCAGGAGGGGCCGGAUCACAGGAUCGGUAGUCUGGUCUUCAAGCUGUCCACAGGGAGCUGACACUCUGCCAGAGUCCAGGUCAAUCAUGAAGACAAAGGUGCUGAGGUGGGGAACCUAAUGGACAUGAAGCAGUGUCAGAACUUGCUGGAGAACUCUGUGACUGCUGUGACUGCUCUGCGAGAGUGGGAGCCUUGACCUUGGCCCACACAUGUGCUGUUCUUCUUUGGAUGCCAGUCAGGACAACGAGAUCUCUGUCCCUCAGAAUUGACUUGGUUGUUGAUUUAGGGAAUCUCCAACACCUCAGCUUAGUUUUCUAGCUUUAGAUAAUAUUUAAUCUUCGCAUUGUAGAUGAUUUGCCCCUGUUCUUUAUGCCCAGUUUACAUUACCAAACUUAAUAUGGUUGUAACAGUAAGUAUGCAAUGUUUUAGGACAUGGCUACCCCAAUGGCAUGCUCAGAGCCUUUGCCCAAGGGUGUUCUUAUACACCUGUGAAGAGAGCAAGCCAGGAACUUGUAUCCUUACUCAGGGAUGAGAACAAACUAAAUCUCAGAGCAUGACUUGCCACAGUGUGGUCCCUGAGCCUGGAAGCUCCUGGCUCCACUGUUCAAGCAUCUUUGUCUAUUCUGUGUUGGGACCUUUUCCAUCCCUUACUUGGUAGCGUCCACAGACCCUGUAGAGACUGGAGUCCAGAAAGCCCAGGGAAGGGUUUCCAGCAGGACCCUGACCCAUGUUGGUUGUCCUGGCUUCCAUCCCUGCCUUCACCAAUCACUAUUCUCAUGUCUGUCCUUAGAGCUGGUCUGCUCCCGUGCCCUUCACUCGGUGAGGAGGUUGGGAGCAAGCGUCAAAUGAAUGAAAUACAGGCUCUGGAUUCUCUCAGAAAGCCUGCAUCAGACCCCUGAGGCUCUGAGAAGCCGACAACCUGUUCAAGAUCAAAUAUUCUCUGAGGCCAUGAAGACAAGUCCUAUCUCCCAGAAGACAGGUCAAGGUGUUGCUGUCAGAAGGUCAGGUGAUAUGAGCCACUCAGAACUUCACUAUGAAACAGAGCCAAGACUCAGAUUACUUUUCCCACGGUCUUCCUCAGUCUCAUCUUAGAACUGAAGAUCACCCAGGACAUCCUCUUUUCCUUGAAGUAUGAAGAACAGGGUACUUAGUGUGCUCGGGACUGCCUGGGAACGGGUGUCCUUUCGAGGAAGACAUCUGACCACCAGGUGGAAGGCGCUCAAGUGACCCCAGAAUGGUAAAAUUAAAAACCAUCGAAGAAUCAACAAUAUAAUGAGAGAGAAAAGAGCCUACAAGCUGCAUGAAUUCAGCCAAGUCCUGCCAUGCUUGAGGUCCACAGUUCUUUUCCAACUGGUGAUGCAGCCUGAGGAAAUGUUCCACACAAAACAUUCAGGAUGGGUCUUACUACCUCAGAGAUACCUCUCCAGAAACACCCUCAGAUAUGUGCUCAAAUUUCUGCCUCUUAAGAAAACCUAGUUCCUGCUACACUACCUAGAAUCCAGUCUCUACCUCAGAUAUCAUUAUUGUGAGUACUGCUCUGCAAGGGCCUUCACAUUCAGGCUCUAUUGGCUAGGUCUCCAGGAAGAGGUGGAUCUCUCUUGUUUGGCUGCUGCUCCUUCCUCAAGCCAGGGGACCUCUUUUCUUCAUCCACCUGAGAAGUGACCAAUACCACACACCUACCACGGCAUGGGCCGCAAUACCAGGAGAAUCAUUAGACUCUAAAUAUGAAUACUUUUAGAGUCCAUCUGAGUGAUACCAGGACAUUUUUGGCUUUGGAGAAAUAUCCCUCGCUCUGCAAUAGUGACCCCAACUCACCUCUUUUUGGAUCCCAGAAAAAAUGCUCAACUCCCUCAGACAUUCUGUCUCAUUGCUGAGACCACCAGGGCAGGAGGACAGCCCAUGGUCUGCUGAGCCAUCUGCAUCUGGCAAGGCCACCCUUUCUCUACUAAAUAAAGGGCACUGUUCACAUGGGCUGAGGCCUGGAGUCGCCA